UGUCGGUUCGUCCUAGAAUCCCAUCAUUGGCACGCUGAACGCGCACCGCGACGCUUCGUUUCGGUUCGAUUCGGUUCCCGACUAGCUUCGUCUUCGUUUUACUUCGUCAAGUUCGGAGGAUAAGGAUAAGGAUAAGGAUUCGCAUGUCAGCGCUCGUCGACUCAGUGAUCUUUGUUGUGAUCUCCGUUCUGCCGCCCACGCGACAAUCGACACGUUAGCAUUGUAACGUUGUUAAUUUCAGCAGCGCCGUAUCGCCUAUAACCGAGAUAAAGAAAGACGAAGAA
rnacentral:lncRNA from 2 species